CUUCUCAAUAAAUCACAAGUCACCAAUCUCAACAUAUACUCCUUCAAAGAGCUCAAGUUCAGCCAAGAACAUCGUCUAGCCCAUUCUCCUUUCCAACAAGCAAGUAGGAUCAAAUAUUCACUGAAAUUUCUCACAAGGCUUUGUGACCAGGGGGACUAGCGCUGCUUUCCCAAGACAGGUUUUUAUGUGUAUGAUCUUCAGGCUUUGCCUAUCCAGGUUGAGCUGAUGUGAUGAUGGUGCUGCAAUGAGCGGAGUCUCCAGGGUUGUUAAUAAAUAAUUAACCUGUCUAGAAUAUGUCUUCAUACAUAUGUCUAGCUACUUUCCGCUGCAAGAUGUUGUUGAUGUUAUAGUAUGUUAUGUCAUACUUUGAGUCUUAAGAGAAUGGUUUCAUAUGAUGUAUAACUUGAUUAAUGAUAUUAAUUAAGUUUUAUGCUGUCUUUCAUAGACUAUUUUCAAUUGAGUAUUAAUGAAUAAAAAUGACGAGUUUUAUUAAGAUGAGUAAGUUUUACGGCUAUAAAUGACGCCCCUUUUCUUCCCCUUCUUCUUUAACCCCAUCCCUAGUCGUAGAUCACUCGGCUUAACUAUCCUUAGUUAGGGCGGGCUGUGACAACUUAAGAUCUUCAUGUUAAAUUUCAAAUGAUAUACCUGACCGAGCUUAGACUCUUCACUACUAAA